rnacentral:rRNA from 1 species
UAACACGUGGGUACCUACCUUGAGGUGAGGAAUACCACCGAGAAAUCGGUGACAAGACCGCAUAUCUUUCGCAAGAAGGAAAGUCACAGACGUGACGCCACAGGAUGGGCCUGCGCCUGAUUAGCUGGUUGGUGGGGUAAGAGCCUACCAAGGCGACGAUCAGUAGCUGGUCUGAGAGGAUGAUCAGCCACACUGGGAUUGAGAACGGCCCAG